UAAACAAAAAGGAAUUCCAAAGGUUGGUGGUGGAAGAAAUGGCAUCAAUGGCAGGGUUCUGCGGUUCCUCUCAGGCUGUGUUGGAAGAUAGCCUUCAAAUUAGCGGCUCAACCCGAUUGAGUGUGGGUGGCAGCAGCAGCAGCAGCCGGCCCUCCGUCCCCCGGUCUGGGUUGAUGAUCAGAGCUCAGCAAGUGCCUGCUGAGCCAGAGACCAGUCGCAGGGCCGUUCUUGGCUUGGUCGCAGCCGGUGUCACCUCUGCCUCGUUCGUUCAAGCCGUUCUCGCUGAUGCUAAGCCCAUCAAGCUCGGCCCCCCGCCCCCUCCCUCCGGUGGACUCCCUGGGACUCUGAACUCAGACCAGGCAAGGGAUUUGGAUCUGCCACUUAAAGAUAGGUUCUUCCUGCAACCACAAAGCCCAGAGAUGGCGGUGGCGAGGGCGAAAGAGUCAGCCAAGGACAUCAUUAAUGUAAAGGAAUCAAUAGAGAAAAAGGCUUGGCCAUUCGUCCGCGAUGACCUUCGUCUCAAAGCAGAGUACCUCCGUUAUGAUCUCAAGACAAUCAUUUCUGCCAAGCCCAAGGAAGAGAAGCAAGCCCUUAAGGAUCUCACUGGAAAGCUCUUCCAAGACAUCAACAACUUGGAUUAUGCAGCAAAGAUCAAGAGCAGCUCAGAAGCAGAGAAGUAUUACGCUCAGACCGUGUCAACCCUCAACGAUGUCCUCGCCAAGAUUGGUUAGAGCAACAGCUUUUCUGCUGAUGUGAUGUAAAAUUAUUUGUGAACAUACCCGCUUGAACUAAUGUUAUAUUGAGCCUCUAAAGCACGUUUAUUCUUUAAUAGAGAUCUACCACAUGUUUACAUUAUAGCUAUACCUUCUAGAUUUACAAAUAUUUAUUCGACACAGGAGUAUAUUGACAUAGUUAAGU